GACGAACGCUGGCGGCGUGCUUAACACAUGCAAGUCGAGCGGUAAGGCCCUUCGGGGUACACGAGCGGCGGACGGCUGAGUAACGCGUAGGAACGUACCCCAAAGUGAGGGAUAAGCACCAGAAAUGGUGUCUAAUACCGCAUGUGGUCUUCGGAUUAAAGCUUUAUGCGCUUUGGGAGCGGCCUGCGUCUGAUUAGCUUGUUGGUGAGGUAAUAGCUCACCAAGGCGACGAUCAGUAGCUGGUCUGAGAGGAUGAUCAGCCAGACUGGGACUGAGA
rnacentral:rRNA from 1 species